UACGGGGGGUGCAAACGUUGCUCGGAAUUAUUGGGCGUAAAGCGCACGUAGGCGGUCUGGUAAGUCGGGUGUGAAAGCCCGGGGCUCAACCCCGGAAGUGCACACGAAACUGGCAGGCUUGAGUAUGGAAGAGGGUCUCGGAAUUCCCGGUGUAGAGGUGAAAUUCGUAGAUAUCGGGAGGAACACCAGUGGCGAAGGCGGAGACCUGGGCCAAUACUGACGCUGAGGUGCGAAAGCGUGGGGAGCAAACAGG
rnacentral:rRNA from 1 species